GGGGGCACCCUUGAUCCCAGCAAUGCCGCGUGAGNGAAGAAGCCNUUCGGGUUGUAAAGNUNUUUUGUCAGGGAAGAAACAGCAGNUCUAACACAGUUGUGAAUGACGGUACCUGAAGAAUAAGCACCGGNUAANUACGUGCCAGCAGCCGCGGUAAUACGUAGGGUGCAAGCGUUAAUCGGAAUUACUGGGCGUAAAGCGUGCGCAGGCGGUUAUAUAAGACAGGUGUGAAAUCCCNGGGNUUANCCUGGGAAUUGCAUCUGUGACUGUAUAGCUAGAGUGUGUCAGAGGGGGGUAGAAUUCCACGUGUAGCAGUGAAAUGNGUAGAUAUGUGGAGGAAUACCAAUGGCGAAGGCAGCCCCCUGGGAUAACACUGACGNUCAUGCACGAAAGCGUGGGGAGCAAACAGGAUUAGAUACCCUGGUAGUCCACGCCCUAAACGAUGCUGACUAGUUGUUNGGGAUUUUAUCCCUGAGUAACG
rnacentral:rRNA from 1 species